rnacentral:rRNA from 1 species
CAGCCGUAAACUAUGCUCGCUAGGUGUCAGGGACGGUGCGACCGUUUCUGGUGCCGCAGGGAAGCCGUGAAGCGAGCCACCUGGGAAGUACGGUCGCAAGGCUGAAACUUAAAGGAAUUGGCGGGGGAGCACUACAACGGGUGGAGCCUGCGGUUUAAUUGGAUUCAACGCCGGAAAUCUUACCGGGACCGACAGCAACAUGAAGGCCAGGCUGAAGACUUUGCCGGAUUAGCUGAGAGGAGGUGCAUGGCGUAGUCGUGU